rnacentral:rRNA from 1 species
UACAGAGGUCUCAAGCGUUGUUCGGAAUCACUGGGCUUAAAGGGUGCGUAGGCGGGCGAUCAAGUCAGGGGUGAAAGCCUCCAGCUCAACUGGAGAAGUGCCUUUGAUACUGGUCGUCUCGAGGGAGGUAGGGGCGUGCGGAACUUCCGGUGGAGCGGUGAAAUGCGUAGAUAUCGGAAGGAACACCAGUGGCGAAAGCGGCGCGCUGGACCUCUUCUGACGCUGAGGCACGAAAGCCAGGGGAGCAAACGGG